GGGCGCAUAGCUCAGCUGGAUAGAGCAACAGCCUUCGAAGCUGUGGGUCGGGAGUUCGAAUCUCUCUGCGCUCGCCA
rnacentral:tRNA from 1 species